rnacentral:pre_miRNA from 1 species
CACUGUUCACGUUCAACGUUUGACCGUUCAUCUUAUUUGAAUUUUUUUAUGGUUAGUAUUUUUAUUGCUCUUAGAUGAUAAAACAUGAAUAGUACUUUAUGUGUUACUAAAUAUUUUCAAAUUUUUCACAAAAUUUUCAAAUAAGACGGACAGUCAAACGUUGGACACGGAUAUUCACGGCUGCACUUAUU